rnacentral:rRNA from 1 species
UAAAACGUAGGAGGCGAGCGUUAUCCGGAUUUACUGGGCGUAAAGCGCGCGCAGGCGGCCUUAUAAGUUAGACGUGAAAGCUCCUGGCUUAACUGGGAGAGUGCGUUUGAUACUGUAGGGCUUGAGGUUGGGAGAGGGGUGUGGAAUUCCCGGUGUAGUGGUGGAAUGCGUAGAUAUCGGGAGGAACACCUGUGGCGGAAGCGGCACCCUGGCCCACACCUGACGCUGAAGUGCGAAAGCGUGGGGAGCAAACAGG